UCCAGACUCCUACGGGAGGCAGCAGUAGGGAAUCUUUCACAAUGGGCGAAAGCCUGAUGGAGCAACGCCGCGUGCAGGAUGAAGGCCUUCGGGUUGUAAACUGCUUUUAUAAGCGAGAAAUAUGAUGGUAACUUAUGAAUAAGGAUCGGCUAACUACGUGCCAGCAGCCGCGGUAAUACGUAGGGAGCGAGCGUUAUCCGGAUUUAUUGGGUGUAAAGGGUGCGUAGACGGGAAGUUAAGUUAGUUGUGAAAUCCCAAGGCUCAACUUUGGAACUGCAACUAAAACUAAUUUUCUUGAGUACUGGAGAGGAAAGUGGAAUUCCUAGUGUAGCGGUGAAAUGCGUAGAUAUUAGGAGGAACACCAGUGGCGAAGGCGACUUUCUGGACAGAAACUGACGUUGAGGCACGAAAGUGUGGGGAGCAAACAGGAUUAGAUACCCUAGUAC
rnacentral:rRNA from 1 species